AUUUUUUUGUUAAUUUAUUUUAAGUAAGACCUGCCCAAUGACUUUUGUUAAAUGGCUGCAGUAUUUUAACUGUACGAAGGUAGCAUAAUAAUUUGUUUAAUAAUUUUAGACUUGAAUGAAAGGUUUUUUUAGAUUUAAUCUUUCUUUAUAUUAUUUAUAAGAAUUAAUUAUAUCAGUUAGAAAACUGAUAUAAUUUUAUGGGACGAGAAGACCCUGUAGAGUUUUAUAUUUUAAUAGGAUAUAUCCUAUUAAAAUAUUAUGUUGGGGGGGUAGUAAUUUAUAUAAACAAUUUUUUUUUGUUUCAUUGAUUUAUGAUUUUUUGAUCCAAUUAUUUUGAUUAUAAGAUCAAACUACCUCAGGGAUAACAGCGUAAUUUAUUUGGAGAGUUCUUAUUGAAAAUUUAAGUUUGCGA
rnacentral:rRNA from 1 species